UCCCCGAUAGCUCAGUUGGUAGAGCACUCGGACUGUUAAUCGAGUUGUCACAGGUUCGAGCCCUGUUCGGGGAGCCA
rnacentral:tRNA from 1 species